GGGGGGGGGGGGGGGGGGGGGGGGGGGGGGGGGGGGGGGGGGGGGGGGGGGGGGGGGGGGCUGUGACGGGGGGCGGGGGGCGGGCGGGUGGGGGAGGGAUGGGACUCUACUUUUUGGGGGGGGAUAACGUAGGGACACUUACGCUAAUACCGCAUACGGCCUCCGGGUGAAAGCAGGGGCUCUUCGGACCUUGCGCGCUGGAAUGAGCCGAUGUCGGAUUGGCUAGUUGGCGGGGUAAAGGCCCACCAAGGCGACGAUCCGUAGCUGGUCUGAGAGGAUGAUCAGCCACACUGGACCUGAGACACGGUCCAGACUCCUACGGGAGGCAGCAGUGGGGAAUAUGGGACAAUGGGCGCAAGCCUGAUCCAGCCAUACCGCGUGGGUGAAGAAGGCCUUCGGGUUGUAAAGCCCUUUUGUUGGGAAAGAAAAGCAGCAGGUUAAUACACCGCUGUUCUGACGGUACCCAAAGAAUAAGCACCGGCUAACUUCGUG
rnacentral:rRNA from 1 species